GACGAACCGUCCUAACGUUGUUCGGAAUCACUGGGCUUAAAGGGCGCGUAGGCGGCCUUGAAAGUCGGGGGUGAAAUCCCACGGCCUAACCGUGGAAGUGCCUCCGAUACUGCAAGGCUCGAGGGAGGUAGGGGCAGCGGGAACUUCCGGUGGAGCGGUGAAAUGCGUUGAUAUCGGAAGGAACGCCGGUGGUGAAAGCGCGCUGCUGGACCUCUGCUGACGCUGAGGCGCGAAAGCCAGGGGAGCAAACGGG
rnacentral:rRNA from 1 species